rnacentral:rRNA from 1 species
UACAGGGGGAUAACAGUUAGAAAUGACUGCUAAUACCGCAUAAGACCACGGUACCGCAUGGUACAGUGGUAAAAACUCCGGUGGUAUGAGAUGGACCCGCGUCUGAUUAGGUAGUUGGUGGGGUAACGGCCUACCAAGCCGACGAUCAGUAGCCGACCUGAGAGGGUGACCGGCCACAUUGGGACUGAGACACGGCCCAGACUCCUACGGGAGGCAGCAGUGGGGAAUAUUGCACAAUGGAGGAAACUCUGAUGCAGCGACGCCGCGUGAAGGAUGAAGUAUUUCGGUAUGUAAACUUCUAUCAGCAGGGAAGAAAAUGACGGUACCUGACUAAGAAGCCCCGG